rnacentral:rRNA from 1 species
UACCAGCUCCACGAGUGGGAACUACAAUUAUUGGGCCUAAAGCGUCCGUAGCCGGUUUAAUAAAUUUCUUGUGAAAUUGUUGCGCUUAACGUAACAACGUGCAGGAAAGACUGUUAAACUUGGGACUGGGAGGGGUUAGAAGUAUCUCUGGGGUAGCGGUAAAAUGUUAUAAUCCUAGAGAGACUACCUAUGGUGAAGGCAUCUAACUAGAACAGGUCCGACGGUGAGGGACGAAAGCUAGGGGAGCAAAACG